rnacentral:rRNA from 1 species
AUGGGAACGCGAAGAACCUUACCUAGACUUGACAUCUUCUGCAUUAAUCGUAAUGGAUGAAAUCCCUUCGGGGACAGAAUGACAGGUGGUGCAUGGUUGUCGUCAGCUCGUGUCGUGAGAUGUUGGGUUAAGUCCCGCAACGAGCGCAACCCUUAUUACUAGUUGCUACCAUUAAGUUGAGCACUCUAGUGAGACUGCCCGGGUUAACCGGGAGGAAGGCGGGGAUGACGUCAAAUCAUCAUGCCCCUUAUGUCUAGGGCAACACACGUGCUACAAUGGUGAGUACAGAUAGAUGCGAUACCGCAAGGUGGAGCCAAACUCUAAAACUCAUCCCAGUUCGGAUUGUAGGCUGCAACUCGCCUACAUGAAGUUGGAGUUGCUAGUAAUCGCGAAUCAGAAUGUCGCGGUGAAU